ACAUUGACACAAGGAGGAGCGUGUUCCCAAAAGUUUGGCGAUCUACUUGACUGAAGAUCCAGACUCUUUCUUCAAGGAAUUUUUUACCUCUUCCACUGAAAACGACAUCGCAGAAAGCAUUCCAGCUACGGUCAGCCAUCUCAGAAGAAAUGGGAUUGGAUGUUGCUGUUGGAAUUGAAGGUGUUCAAGACCUCAGGAACACACAUUAGACACAUUAGAAGAACUCCUUUUCUACCAAACUAAAUUGUGGUAAUUGGCUUUGAGGUCUUUUGAAUUCCUACAAAUCCUAAAGUUUUUGCCAUUUCUUUUUCUCCUUUUUUAUUUCCCCUUUUCAAGAUCUGCUUAAAAUCUUGUAGA